rnacentral:rRNA from 1 species
UUUUCAGCCGCCGCGGUAAUACGUAGGGGGCUAGCGUUGUCCGGAAUCAUUGGGCGUAAAGCGCGUGUAGGCGGUUCGGUAAGUCCGCUGUGAAAGUCGGGGGCUCAACCCUCGAAAGCCGGUGGAUACUGUCGGGCUAGAGUACGGAAGAGGCGAGUGGAAUUCCUGGUGUAGCGGUGAAAUGCGCAGAUAUCAGGAGGAACACCAAUUGCGAAGGCAGCUCGCUGGGACGUUACUGACGCUGAGACGCGAAAGCGUGGGGAGCAAACAGGAUUAGAAACCCGAGUAGUCC